AGUGAACGCUGGCGGUAGGCCUAACACAUGCAAGUCGAACGGCAGCACAGUAAGAGCUUGCUCUUACGGGUGGCGAGUGGCGGACGGGUGAGGAAUACAUCGGAAUCUACUUUUUCGUGGGGGAUAACGUAGGGAAACUUACGCUAAUACCGCAUACAACCUACGGGUGAAAGCAGGGGAUCUUCGGACCUUGCGCGAUUGAAUGAGCCGAUGUCGGAUUAGCUAGUUGGCGGGGUAAAGGCCCACCAAGGCGACGAUCCGUAGCUAGUCUGAGAGGAUGAUCAGCCACACUGGAACUGAGACACGGUCCAGACUCCUACGGGAGGCAGCAGUGGGGAAUAUUGGACAAAGGGCGCAAGCCUGAUCCAGCCAUACCGCGUGGGUGAAGAAGGCCUUCGGGUUGUAAAGCCCUUUUGUUGGGAAAGAAAAGCAGCAGGUUAAUACCCCGCUGUUCUGACGGUACCCAAAGAAUAAGCACCGGCUAACUUCGUG
rnacentral:rRNA from 1 species